UACGUAGGAGGCAAGCGUUGUCCGGAUUUACUGGGCGUAAAGAGCGUGUAGGCGGUUCGUACAGUCCGCUGUGAAAUCUCCAGGCUCAACCUGGAGUAGUCGGUGGAAACUAGCGAACUUGAGGACGGUAGAGGGGGGUGGAAUUCCCGGUGUAGUGGUGAAAUGCGUAGAGAUCGGGAGGAACACCAGCGGCGAAGGCGGCCCCCUGGGCCGCUCCUGACGCUGAGACGCGAAAGCGUGGGUAGCAAACAGG
rnacentral:rRNA from 1 species